rnacentral:tRNA from 1 species
GGGGAUAUAGCUCAGUUGGUAGAGUGCUUGCUUCCCAUGCACAAGGCCCUGGGUUCAACUCCCAGCACCA